rnacentral:misc_RNA from 1 species
UCCGGUUUGACACCGGCAGUCUCACUAGAGUCCCCAGCAUAACCUGAUGGCAACUAGUGAUAGGGGUUUCGCUCGUUAAGGGACUUAACCCGACACUUCACAGCACGAGCUGACGACAGCCAUGCAGCACCUGUGCGCGUUCCGCCCUUUCGGGUGUGGCCCGCCUUUCGGCGGGUUAAUCCGCGCAUGUCAAACCCUGGAUAAGGUUCUUCGCGUUGCUUCGAAUUAAGCCACAUGCUCCACCGCUUGUGUGAGCCCCCGUCAAUUCCUUUGAGUUUUAGCCUUGCGACCGUACUCCCCAGGCGGUGUACUUAACACUUUUGCUUCGACCGUGCCGGCGUCAGAGCCGCCACAAUCUAGUACACAUCGUUUAGGGCGUGGACUAC